rnacentral:lncRNA from 1 species
UUAAAUUUAAUAAAAUUCUUAAUUUAACUAACUAGAAAAUUUUAAAUGGAAAAAAAAUCUUUACUCUCAAAUCUUUUCCUUCCAACAACAUUAAAAAAAUAAAGAAAAAAAAGCGAUCGUAUUUAGUGUAGUUGAUUAAGGACUUGAUAGUUGGGAUACUUCAUUUAUUUUUCAAAAACAAAUAAAGUGAAUAAUAUGCUAUUUUUCUCUGAGAGUGUUGCCCUUCUUAUCUUUUCUUUUAAAUAGAGAAAAAAUUAUUUAGGCAAAAGCAAUCACAAAGUCUAAACAAAAGAGAGCGAUAAUUAUCGACCGUUCCUAGCGGAAGUGGCAAAGGGUUUAGUGGUUGAUACCCAAAAUACCAAGUUCGAAUUCUAGUUGAUUUAAAUUUUCAGUUAAAUUUAUUUCUAAAUGAAAUAAACGAAACGAAUAGCAUGCUACCUAUCUUUCUCUUAAAAAAAAAAAAAGAGAGCAAUAGUAGAUCGAGUUUCUUCACAUUCUUAGCUAAAUGUGUACGAUAGUAGAUCAAGUUUCUUCACAUUCUUAGCUAAAUGUGUACCAUAUCUCUCUCCCAAAAAGAAAACAAGAAAAGGGAAAAAAAAAGAAGAAAAAAAGGUACGCUUCUUGCCCUUUCUUUAAAUGGAGAAAAAGUUGUUUAGGUAAAGAAAUAAAUAAGCAGAGGAAUCACAAAAUAUGAACAAAAGAGAGUGAUAAAUUUUAUAGAAUGGUGAUGAUUAUCCUACAGAUCAAGUUACUGUUGCAGCAUCUCUUUCUAUUGCUGUUUAGUUACAUUUCGAUUUAUGUUGAUCCAAAAUAGGGGUGAGCAUCGCCAGGUUCUCCUUUUAAAUAACCGAACCGAACUGAACCGAACCGAAAAGUUUGGCCGGGUCUGCCCGGUUUAUUUAGUUUUGAUAAAAUAUUUUUAUUUAAUUUAAGUCUUUUUAAACUACUAAAACUAAAAUAUAAUCGUGAUUAAUUUUAUGUUAACAAUUAUUAACCUAAGAUGAUAAUAAUUAAGUAUCUCUAAUUAUUUUAAUUAAUUUUAGUUCAUUCGAUUUAUUCGGUUUUUCUUAUUCUUUACUUUUUAGAAUCNAAGUAUGUUUACUGUUCAUCGGCAGCGAAAUGCAAUGAAAAUUGGCUCUUUGGAUGCGACGGUCUUCGCGAGCCUAAAAGAAAAUUCAGGGGUCACGUAUGGAUGAUGCAUCUUUUAUUUAAUUAUGUUGUUAAUUAAAUAUAGGAGCAAAAAGAAAAGGUGGAAAAAUUGAUAAAAGAAAGGAAGAUAAACGCAAACUUUGGAAUAUACAGUGGGUUUUUUUUUUUAUCUUUUAGUAUAAAACAUUUACUACUUUUAUAAUUUUAUAAAAUAAGACCCCUUUUUUGAUUUUUCUAAAUUUUUUAAUUUUUUGACUAAAAUAUUUUAAUUCUCUUUCUCCUAGCUUUUUUUUCUCCUCCCUUUUUCUCUCAAUCCUCUUCCACCGUCUCCACAUCGCCUAUCUCAUCUCGCACACGAACGAAAGGACAAUAAGGAAGUUUGACUCAUUUGUGGCCGUGGUCAUUCUCGGCGUUCUAUGACAAGACCGUCGCGGUAAAGACGAGGAUGGCGUUACUCGGAGUAUCGCCGGAGAUGAAAACGGAGGUGGCGGAGGAGAAGGGCAAUGACAGCCAAUCAAGAAUGUUACUGUACAUCAAUGAAUAAAGCAGGUAGCGUGCUACCUAUUUUCAAAAAAAAAUGCUACUGAACAAGUUCACGGGCGGGUUCGCAAACAUGGUCAUAAUGGCGAAGUGGUGGUAACGGUGAUAGAGAAAAUUUUGGCAGGCGAUACGAUAUUAUACUAUUUAAAAAAGAUGCACUAUUCAAACAUAUUUUGCACUAUUUGAUAUAUAUUUUAAACUGUAAAAUAGUGCAAUUUUUUUGGCUAAAUAGUAUAACUUUUUAAUAAAUAAUGCAAUAGCACCGUCUAUCAGAUUUUUAAAAUUCUUGGCUAAAUUAUUAAAAAUAUCCCUAUCAAGAAUCACUUUUUCACUUUUCCUCCCUGACUUUAAAAAUCUACCUUUAACCCUCUCAAAAAUUAAAAAAAUAUUCACAAGGGUUAUAGUAUUAAUUGUAAUAAUUUAAUGAUCACCAAAUUGUCCUCUCUCUCAUUGUCUCCUUGCCACCCCCUCUUCAUAGGGAUGUCAAUAGGUAUGCAUAUCCGAAAUUUUAUCCGAAUCCGAAUCCGAAUGAAACGGAUAUAUCCAAUGGAUUCGGAUAUGGGUAUAAAAAAAAAACCCGACGGAUAUGGAUUUUGAUUGUACCCGAUCCGAACCCGAAUUUAUUUUAUUUUAUAUAUAUAUAUAUAUAUAUAUAUAUAUAUAUAUAUAUAUAUAUAUAUAUAAAUUUAAUGUUAUAUUUGAAUUUGUAUUUUAAAAAUUUAGAUUUAAUAUAAUAUAUUUUGAAAUAUUGAAAAAAGAAAUAAUUAUUUCGGGUUCAAAUUAUCGGGUUUGGGUUUGGGUUUGGGUUUCCAAUUUUUGGUCAGGUUCGGAUUUGGAUAUGGAUUUUUAAAAUCCGUCGGGUUCGAGUCUCGGGUUUGGAGUCGGGUUCGGGUUCGGAUUUUGUAAAAUCCGCCCCGAAUCCGACCCGUUGACAUCUCUACUUCUUCAUCCACUGACUCUCCGCUGAGCUCCAUCCUUCGACCCGGCGUGCUCCGCCGACCCAGCGUGCCUUUUCCUCCUGCUCUCCCAGUGGAAGACCUUGGACGGCGUGUAGUGUGAGUGGGCCGAGAAAAGCGACGAUAGUGGAAAGGAGGUCAAGGUGGGUGCGAACAGAGAAGGGGGCAAGGGUGAGGCAGCAGAGAAGGGUGAGGGCAUGGCCGUGGGCAGGGGACUUGAGCUUGCCACAGAGGGAGGAGAGUAGCGAGGCGGCGCGGCCAAGGAUGUCGGUGAGGCGGGAGGCGGUACGGCUGAGAGAGGGUUCUAAGGGUAUUUUGGAUAUAAAAAAAUAUAAAAUAAUAGAAUAUAGACGGAAUUCUGAUAGAACGCUGAUGUCAGGUGCCAAAUUGAACAUUUCUUAUUUUUUUAGGGGGUAAAAUAUAGAUUUUUAAAAGUCGGAAAAAGAAAGUAAAAUAGCAGAUAUUGACAGGAGGUUUUUUGUAAUUUAGCUUUUUAAUAAACAAUGCAAUAGCAUCGUCUAUCAAAAUUUUUUUUUUCUCUCACUGCCGCCACUACCUUGUAGCCGCCAAUUGUGCUCACGGCAGACAUGCUUCAGAAGCAUUUUUUUGACCAGCGAUCAUUACCCUCCUCUUCUACCACCUUUGUUUCCGUCUCUGGCAAAGCGCUGAGAGGCCACAAUGACGAGCCAGUCAAGUUCACCGUGUUCCUCUUGCUCGUGAGGUGUUCAUGACGUGAACGCGGCGAAGAAGUUUGUGUCAAGGCAAAGGAGGUGGAUAAACGCUCGAGACUGUCGGUGGCGGUGAAAAUAUCAUUCGCGAGGUGAGGGAGUGAUGGGGUAUUUAACUGACACGAGUAUUUUGGCCAAUUUUUAAAAAUUUUGACCAAAAUCUGUAAAAACGAAAAAUGUUGUCCACUUUGCAAUAAUGCAAAACUAGUGAAUUUCUUUUUUUUUUUUUGGCCAAAAAAGCUUUUGUUUUUGUAAUAUUAGCUUGUUUUCAUGUAACUUUCAAAUUUAUGAUAUUAUUAACAAACUUUCGUGGUUUCUAAAAUCGUAGAAAGCCAAAUAAUAAUUCCGUUUCAAAUAGAAAAAGCUUCAGAUGGAGAGGUACCCCUACCAUUACAACCAAAAAAUUUUAAGCAAACACUUUCAAACUAAAUUUAUUUAAAUAGGAUUUUUAUAGAUCUAACAGAGUACUAGAACUGUCGUAGAAAGUACAAUAAUAAUAUAAAAAAAUGAUUACUUAUAUACUCCUGAAAAGUUUCUGACUUUCUGAUUUAUUUUUUUUAGAAGGUUAAUAUUGAAAAUAUUAUUUUUACGUUCCAAUCUAGCUAUUCAAAUAUAUCCAUAAAGUUAAAUUCUGUUAAUGAAUUGUUAGCAAUAGCUGUUAUCUCUAUAAAAUUUUUAUUUUUUUUCUUUCAAAUAUAUCCUUCUAUCAUCACCAAUUUUUUUUUAUUUGCGCCAAAAAAUAUUUUAAUUAUUUGUCUUUCCAAAUAUACCCUUCUAUCAUCACCAACAUUUCUUAUUUGCUCUUAAGUUAAGGACAAAAAAAGUAUUUUAAUUUUUUUUUAACUAUGUUAGAUAUUUAACUCACAUUUAACCCAAAUUAAUUUAACGGGUGAUAACUGUAUGAAUAUUUUAAAAUAAUGGAGGAAUAUAUAAAGGGUAUAUUAGAAAGAAAAAAAUAGUAGGAAUAAAUAAAAUAUUUUUAAAAUUUUGAGAGGUAUAUAGAUAAUUAUUUCAAAAAAAAAAAAAGAGAUAUAGGCUGAUUUUUUUUAUCUCCUUUUUGUUCUGAAAUAUUCUUGUUUGGUUCUUCUUUACUAGGUUGCGUUUGUUCUGAUAUAUUUAUUUAUUUUUUGUUUAAUUUAAACUGUAAUUUCAUCUUUAAUUGAAACUUAAACUCUUCAAAAUAAUAUAAUUGACUUUGGCCCGUUCUAGGCCAAAGCCAAUUACAAAAAAAAUAUAUAAAAAAAUAUAAACUCAUCUAUCACAUUUUCAAUUCUUACAGCAUUCACCUUCUGUCAAAUAAAUAGUACAACUAAAAAGAAAAGUUUAGUUCCACAACAAUAUCAACAAAUACCAAAAAAUAAUAAUAUUAAUAUUUUUUUUCCGAGAGGGAUGAUUUAUGUAAAUAUUUCUAGAAAUGCAGUACCUGAAAGAAAACGAUGUAUGUAUGGUAUAACCUCUUUUAUAUUAGUUACUUUAUUUUCUGCUGCGAUACCUAUAACAACUGUAGUGGAUAUUAAUUUAUAUGUGUGUACACAGAAUUUUCUAUAUACACGGCAGAUUUGUUGGUGAGCUCUAACUCCGUUCUAACUGGGGAUGUGACUGAAACUUUCAUUCAUCAAUAUAUAUAUAUAUAUAUAUAUAUAUAUAUAUAGGGUCCAGCUAUUAUACUAUUACGAGUACGAUCGUCCUCGUACUCAUAAGUUGUUUUUGAUGAUAGAGCUUCCGAAUCGACGAUCCAUACCGUUAAAUAUUAUUUACAGCAUUUAAAACUUUUAGAAAUCAAAUUUUAUAAUUUUUCGAUAUCAUUUACCUUACAAUCAAUCAAAAGGUCACAAAUUUGACAAUUUUUAACGGCCGGUAUGGAAUACUUGCUAGUUUAACGGUGUAAAAGAAUCGAAAUUUAUUGAAUUUUUGAUAGAAAAUUCUAUUCACUAUAUAGAUAAAGAUUAAUAACUCCGAUCUUGAAUUAAAGGAUCCGAUCAUACUUUUCUAGGACGUUGUUCGAUUUUGACCGUUCAUUUUAUGUCCGCUUGAUAGACUUUAUUAUGAUUUCAAAAAUUUACGAAAUUUAUUUUCUACAAGUUUCNGGAUUGUCGAUUCGGAAGCUCCAUCAUUGAAAACAACUUAUGAGUACGAGGACUCCAAUACUCAUAAUAGUAUAGUAGCCAUGGUAUAUAUAUAUAUAUAUAUAUAUAUAUAUAUAUAAACUAAAUUUUAGGUUCGGUUAAUAUAUAAAACAUGCGCUUGGAUGGUAACGUUGCUGUCGAUGCCUUGAAUUAUUUGACUCAACUCUCCGAGCCACCGACUACAUGCAUGGUUGAGUGACGCGGGAUCCAAACGUGACGUGUCCACUCAUUCGACCAAUCAUUGUGCGACUUGAGCGCAUUCAGAUUUUGGAGUGUCAUUCGAUUAAAACAUUUCGCAUUAAUUGCUGAAAGCGAAGGUCACACAGCUUACAACGACUCCGAAGCCCAUCUUAUAAGGAAAGAGGAAAGUGAUAUUACCGUAGCCAAAUUUGUAAGGGUUACGCCCAUUCAUUAAAUUCCAGCAAAUUUAGUCGGUAAAUAAUAGUUGGAUUUAGCGAUCGUUUAGCUAGAUGUAUAUAUUUCUUAUUUAAUUAAUUAGAUGCAGCAAAAGUGCUACAAUUACUUUCGUUAGUUGAAACUACAGAUAAUUUUCUUUCGUAACAAAUCAAAUGCCGUAUUGAGGUUCAGUUAUAAUUAUAUAUAAUAAUCAAAUAGUUUCUUAAUGAACCUAUCUACAAAUAUCGAAUUAGCUUUGCUAAUAACAUUAGCUUUCUAUAACAUGCAAUAUAUUGAUUACAAUUGCGGCUCGUUUUUGUAUGCCGAUCAAAUUUCGAGAGGCAUAGGAUGAAAGGAGAAUCGGUGAUAUGACACAAGCAGAAGUGGAAGCGCACCUAUUUGGAUGUGAAAAUAAAUUAUUCAGUAAGAACUUACGUAUUCAUAAUCAUUUAAUGCUCUAUCUAAUGUACCUAGUGUCCGUCUAGUAUAAAUUUUCGGACAUUUACUCGGAAUAGUAAAGUUAAUUCUUGUCGCUUUUUUAUUUUUCUAAUAUAAACAAAAAUUUUGAUUAGACAUGCUUAUCGAUGAAUUAUUUAUUUGUAUUAUUAAUUGUUGGUUAGCUUGUAAUGCAACCCGUCAGAUGAAACUGGAAAUUUACUAGUGAAAGAACAAAAAGAGAAAGAAAAGAGUUACUCUUCAUAUACAGAAUCUACAGUCCCCAUGCUUUAAUUUCCAUGUUGUGAAGCUUCUGCAUUGGACUCUACUACUUGCUGGGAUGCGUGAGAGUUCACACUUUUUCGCUCAUCUUAAUUCCUUUCCUAAGCAUCACGUUUUCGCCGACAUAUACCAUGUAGAAAUUUCUAUAAGGAAUUAUCGACACCUUGGGUGCAUGUAAAAGUCGAAUUAUCCACUACAAAUUCAAUGUAAGACGAGUUCCGGGACAAGCAGUGUGUGCAGCAAUUUGCUCUUCCUACAAUUAAAGGCAUUAACAGGUCGAUUUCGGCCAUUUAUGUUCCUGACCAAACCUAUGUUGUCUGGUUGGCGAUUUCAGCAAAUGAGCUGGGCCCUAAUCUCACAUCCGAAUCGCAAUCUGAUAGAAACCAAGUUCAAUUUUUCGAUUCGGGGUUCGCAUCGGGUCGAUGAAUUACGGGGGGGAGCUCGGGAUAAGAUCAUGUAUCUACGACCCUCACUAUUUGUUCCCUAUCCAUCCCCACAAUUGACACACUGCGAAAUCCGAAUCCCGCAGGGAAUUAAUACCCACUCAUUCCAAUAAAGAAGGAAUGUGAGCAUGUCUAUUUCAACUGGCACUAACCACACACACAUACCCACCUCCCCCCCCCCCCCCCNCCCCCCCCCCCCCUCGCCUACAAAUUGGUUGCAACUGCCAACCUUCACAUAAAGCAUGAUGUUUAUUGCAGUUGCUGCUGCUCCCUCGCUCCGCUUCAUUAAUGCUGCGCCCAUCUCAGCAUUACCCAUUUCCUUCCGGCAACAAUGUUAACUAUAUUCAAUGUAUCUGAUCUGUCAAUAUAUUUUUAACUUUGAAGUAAUUUAUCCUUACACGAAAUAACGUCGGACCAUUCUGAAUAGUAACUUGUAAAUUUUCAGCGAGAUCUACGGAAUAAAACUAGUGUGGUCCAGAAUUUGAUUACCCACCAAGCACUUAAAACUGCUGGUGCUCCAGUUGAUCUCCUACUGCCAAAGUAAAAGAGACAUGGGCUACAUGCAACUGUAAAAUGGAUGGGCAGGAAAUGGACAGAUUGCGAACCUUGAAAAUUAUGACCCUGCGAAGAGAUCGGCUCAUCAAUGCAUACCUCUCCGCACCUUCGAAGUACAAUAACCAAAGUCCGUAAGGCCCAGUGCAUCAAAUAAGGGGAAUGAUUAGGUGGUAAAGAAUAGGAUCUUAACAAUAUGAGGGAUUGAAUCUCAGUAACAAUAGAAAUGAUAUAAAAAACAUAUUAUUAUAAAUAAACCUGCUAAAUGGACAAAGUAUAAAGCCCUUUUCUUCAGCUAACAGUUAAAAGUUUAUUUUUAUAGCUCAUCGGUAAAUACGAUCCGAAUUGCAUUGAAUGAGACUUCAAGAAAUUCGGGUGAGGAGGGGCCAACAAAAUCAGCAAAUUGGAGUGAUGAUUACAUUGCACAACUACUACAAGAAGUACAACAAUCACAAAUUGGACAGCAAGCAACAGGAAAGUCCUUGCGAACUAGAAACUGAAUUGUCGUAGGCGUUAAACGAAUAAACGACAAGCUAACAUGGCUGAAAUAAGGAAUCCAUGAAUGACAGAAAAGAUGGUUUCAAAGUUUUCGCAGGUGAGGGGCAGUAAACUAUAACAAUCGUUGUUCGGAUAGUUAUGGAGUAGUUUAUAAUGGUUAUAUUUGUGAUGAAUAGUGAUCUUAAUAGAAUCAAACACAAAUGCAAUGCUCACUACUACAAAGAAUCAAAAGAAAAGAUAAAAGAACAGGAUCAAAAUAUUAUUCGAACAACCAUUUUUACACCUUUCCGUGCUGGUAUUGAACAAUAUUUUGUGAUUACCCGAGUGCAAGCUGAAAUGAGUAAUAAAUGACUUCGGAGCUGUUGUCAGUUUCCAGAAAGCAACCUCAAUGACACCAAUGUAGCCAGAGGUCUAAUCCGAAAAUGAACAUUGUCGAACCCUCUUUAUUGCAGCUUCAAACACAGGGCAUCUUCUUAUUUCUGAACUUAUAUAAGCAUCAGAUAGAGUACAGAACUCUUUCCCAUCAACCGAUAAUUGUAAUAACUAAUCACGAGAAAGCUUAGGAGUUCAUUUAGAACCGAACAAAUUUCAAUUCGGCCAAAAUUCCGCAUGACGUAACAUAGAAAAGAUAUUAUUUUUGUCAGACCCUUUUUGCAUUUGAUGUGGUGUUUAAGACUCAGCUGAUUAUAACGGAAUAGCAGAGUGAUCUUAGCCUCUCAGUGGGUUGACUCCAAAGCUCAGACCUAUAAUAAGACACAUGACAAGGACUAGCGAAGAAUCACUCAAUCAGUUGGAACAUACUUAUCAACAAAUCUAGAUAACUAUAAAGCAAGAUGUGAAAUUAUAACAAGAUCCAAUCAGCUGAAUAUCACCCUUCGAUUUUAUAUAUUCAGUAAUUUUCUACAUUUCCUUGUUGAUGUUCCUUGUAAUUUAUAUAUUACUUGAUUUUGAUAUUAGUAUAACGAAGAUUUAAUUAAUAUGAGGAACAAAAAAAGCAUAAAAGGGGAAGAAGUGGUUGAACUGUAUUCUAUGGAAAUUUUCCGCGCUGUUUGAGACAACAAAAAAGUUAAAGAGUUUCAGGACAACAAUAUUUCCGCGGCAAUGUUGAACAGCGAGGAAUCGAUAUGCUGAAGAAAUAAACUCAUGUAACGCAAUAAUGUUACGACGAAUGAUUGGGGUAAGUACUUGAAAAAAAAAAAAACGAAAUUCAUUUGAGGCCUGGUUUCAAAUUAUCCAAGCUAACAUAACAUGAAUUUUCUGCCAAAACUUUCCAACACUUUCCAACCUACUGGAAACUCCUUUGCAAAGGCUGUCGACUUUCAUGAACGCAUGUAAUUCAACCAAGAAAGAUGCUUGGUUUAAUUACUCCCAGAGAACUUCGCUGAAAAAGUUCAAUAAUUGGCAAAUUCGAAGAACCACAUGAGACAAGAAUUGAGGAGCCAUUACUAUCAAAGUGUGGUGCUAUAGAUAUGGAAGUGUUGAAAGGCUAGAGGCGUAAGCGUGUCGACGAAGUAAGUCAAUGAAAAGGAUUUGUAUCUGAAUUGCUUGUAUCCUAAGCUAGAAUUACACGAAAAGUUGCUUGAGAUGAAGUUAAAGAGAAUGAAAUAAGGAUUGACAGUACAGAUAGGACCAGAAAAGUAAGAAACUGCAGAAAAAUAAGAAACUCAAAAUGCUGUAUUCGCAAGGCUGAAAACUAACUAAAAUAGUGAACUGUUACUUUAGAAUUACUUUUAACUCCAAGGAACGGUUUGAUCAUUUAAGUGUAACUGGGCCUCUGUCACUCUACGGCCUAAAGUUACUGAUGUAUCAUUUUAUUGCAUUAUUUUUGUGUGCAAGGUAAGGUGAUAGAGCAAAAUACCAGGUAAUCUAAUAGCAUCAUUCUUCUAUUCUGGGAGGGGGAAAAAAAAUUCAAACAUCUGAUAAUCUUACGAGCAUAAUAUCAAUUAUGAUUGAAACUUCACGAGAUUUUCUUUUUCUACACUUGUCGCUGUUAAUUUUGUAAACCUAUUCAUUGAUUUAUGGGAAAACUUCAAAUACCCCACUUGUUGUUUCACUUUUUUUCACUUUAGUAUCCUGUGGUUUAAAAUGUAUCAAGUUAGUACCAUGAGGUUUUUCACUUUAUCACUUUAGUAUUCUGUGGUUUAAAGUGUAUCAAGUUAGUACCUUAUGGUUUCGCACUUUAUCACUUUAGUAUCCUGUCGUUUCGCACUUUAUCAGUUUAGUACCGUGUGGUUUAAAAACCACAGGGUACUAACUUGAUACAAAAAUAAAACCACAGAGUACUAACUUGAUACGUUUUAAAUCAUAUGGUACUAAAGUGAUAAAGUGAGAAAUCACAGGGUACUAACUUGAUACACUUUAAACCAUAGGGUACUAAAAUAAAAAAAUACAAAACCACGGGAGGGGUUUUUGAAGUUUUCCCUUGAUUUAUAAUCUCAUGAUUGAUAUUUUCGAAGUUCCAACAAGCAAGGAUUGUUGUGCCAGGCGACAAGACGCGCUAAUUUGUGUCAACACGUAUAAGAGGCUUCAAAGGGGUGACUAAAACCAUCCCAAGGCAUAGAACAAAUCAGAGAACGAGGGUUUGUUGCGACAAAUUAAAACAUGCUUUUUUCAAGCACCUAGAGAUACAGAAAAGCUAAAUGCAAAUAUGUGCACGCAAGGGCGCGCGUGUUCGUCAAAUCCAUCAAUUACACGAGCCACAAUAGUUAAAAAGGUGGUCACGUUAACAACAUUUUAGUUACUUACGACGAAUACACACGCAAUAACUGAAACCGAUCAGAAUCAUUCUAAGAAAAAUAUGUACAGUACAUACAAAUAUGUUAUUGUCUUCAUACAUAGGAUACUGUAGGUCACUGUGACCAGCGAAGACGAGGAGCAGCAGGUGUCGUAUCAUUAUUAACUCCUACAUGAGUACAUGACAAAGCAGGGCAAAAAAUUAAAUAACUCAUGAUGCUUAGCUAAAGAGGACGGUUCCCUUAUAAUUCCUUGCAAUUACACAAAAACCAUCCAAUUUGUCUAGCAUUAACUUGAAAAGCGACGAUUAUUUAGUGCUUGAUUUGGAAAUAAAAAAAUUUGUCCAAAAAAAGUAAGCCUAGAUGCUGAUAUCGCUAUAAUAAAUAUUGCAUUUAAGGACACCUUAAAUAAUAUCUAAUGACGUUUUAAAGCGUGGACAAGAAUAAUUCCGAUGCUUGUAAAAACAUCGAAUAAAGUGUCGUUAAGUAAAAUAAACAUAUCGGGAUAAAUAUACUGACGCUUUAAUAUUGCGUCGGAAAAUUUUUAUCAGCUUUUGAUAAAAAUAUAUUUUAUUGGUGACGUUUAAUUAUCGUGUCGGUAUAUGUCAAAUAUUGAAGACAUUAAAAUAAAGCGUCAUUUAAAAAGUACCGUUUAAAAUAUAUUUUGUUAGAGUGUAUGAGCCACCAUUUUGCUCUUGCUUCGGAAAGAAUCAGAAGCUAAUCCAAAAAGAUUCUCGUUUAAUAAGAGUAUAUACGGAUAUACCUCGCACACAAUUUGGGUUUGGGAAGGGGAUGUUGCCACAAGGAGAAUAAAUCCGGGAUUUUAUUAUUCAACCCGACCCGGCCCGGUCCAGUCCAGUUGGCCCAUUCAGUUUAGGUUCGAGCUCGAGUUCUCAAAUAUGUAUCUUCGAACCGGGCCGGUUUAAAACCAAAUAUUUGUAGGCACUUUUGUCGCCUUUUACUCAGUACAAGCGGAAGCACCAAUUUAAUUAUUUCUGGAGUCUUCUCUAUCACAGUUAUUUUAUAUAAUAAUUAUAUAAAACAUUUCUCUUGAUCAUAUCGUUUGGCAUCUAGCAUGGCAUAACGAGAUUGAUUUGAAAUUAUACAAGCAUAGAAAACUUCAACCGAAUUUCUUUCGAGCCUUCUUAAGAUUCGGACUCGUUUGUUUCGGCCAAUCUCCAACGCAAAACUUAGUUGAUUAAGAAGAUGUGAGAUCGUAGUUUGCAUAAAAGUUAAUUAGUGCAGUGCUUCCGCGAAAUUCAGCCACUAAACACGCUCUUUAGUUACUGAUCCAACGGCUAAGCUCUUAAAUCAGUGAUGCUUCUAAAGAUGCACUCCGACCUGAUUACCCGAUCAAGUUCCUGUCUCGGACCCAAUCUAAACUUGAUCUGGACCCAAGGACCCACCAUCCGUGUCUACGUUUAGUUUAAUUUUAUUGGAUCAGUACUUACUACAAAUCCUUCAAUUAAAUGUAUAUUCAUAUAUUCUUAUACAUGACAUUCAGAUCUUUUUUUCUAUAAAUCAUAAGGUAAAAAUGUAUAGAACUAAUCUAAGCUAUGGACCAUCUUGUAUUGACUAUCCAAUCUUUUAAAAUUUUAAUUUUACUAUCCAAUCUUUCUUUCUUUUUUUUUUUAUUUGAGUCGGUCCACGACACUUUAACUUGAAAAUUUCAAUGCAUUGUUUAUAUUUAUAGGUUUAGUUAGUAUACUUCAACAAAUUUCGCAACUAUAAGUUUAUUAAAAGAAAUAAUUAGCUUAAAUUUUAAAGUUAAAAUGUAAUUCACUAACUCAAAUCAAAAAUUGAAAGAUUAAGACUUAGUUUGGUAUUGAAAUCUAUCUAACGCUAUUAAAUAAAAUGGAGUUGAGGAAAAGGCAUAUAGGGAUAUGCUUCUGCGUUCUUCGGUAGGACCGCAAAAAAUAUAUCGUAACUGACUCAUCGCGAUAUGCGGAACGCAAUAUUACGUACGGAAACAAAUAGGGUAUUUUUUUAUCGUCCACACGUAACGCAAUCUCUCCGCAAUCCCAAACGAAGUCUAAAUAGUCGAUUCAAAAUGAUACGAAGUCCAUGUAAGUUCUAUACGUUUUUAUCUAAUAGUAAUAUUUAAUAUUCUCAUCUAUAUCUAUACCUAUGCAUUAUUUCUUAUAAAAUUUGCAUAGUUCCUCCUUCAUCCUUGCCUUGUCCUAUCUUCCCACUCCCUGAUACUUCGCCUUGCCACCCUCCAUCUCUUUUCAAUACUUUGUCUUCCCAUUCGUCAACUUUCUAAUUAAUGUAUUCACGUGAUUUAUUGUCAUCUAAACAAAUUGAUUUCAUAAAAAAAAAAAAGAAGAAGAUAUCUUUAUACUCUAUUUUUUAUAUUAUUUGUAUUUAUUGAUGUCUCAUUACAAGUCAAAAAAUUUUAAAAUUUUUACUUUAUUAAUCUUCUAUCUUUUAUAGUAUUUACCCAGCACAAUACGCAAGUAAUUUUACUAGUAUUAAUUAUUAGACUUAAAUUUAAGUGGUUCUGAUUCCGUCUCAACCAGUUUUAUACUUUUAUUUCUAUUUAAAUUUUUGGAUUUGCUAACUCCAAAACAAAUCCACUACACAAACCAACAAUUAUCACUGCAUCGAACUUCCUCGUGGAGCUCUUGUGCUCCUGAAGCCACUUCCCCCCUCAAAAAGUGCGUACUUUUGUUUUAUUAACUUUUUUUUUUUCAUGUAGCCAAAGUUCAAACUUCAAAGCCCAUUUUAGCCCCAUGCACAACACCUCGACAUUUAUCACAGUUCGUACCGUACGUCCCAAAAGGCUCCUUUUAAAUAAAUAAAUAACUCCGUGCUCUCUCUCUCUCUCUCCUCUCUCUCUCCUCUCUCUCUCUCUCUCUCUGCACCAUCUUCAACAACUGCAGCAGCUUUACCUUCGCCACGCCAAGAGACGAGAGAGUUAUUUACUUCAAGGGAAAUGCACGCUUUCAAUUUUUUAAAAUAAUAAUAUCUACGUCUGUUAUUUAGUACUACAAAGGUAAAAACAUAUAAAACUUACAUACUGGAGCUGUUUAUUAUUUUGAAUCUUUGACUCAAUUAUAUGACUAACUGCUUAAACUUUUAAUUUUAGUAACAAAUCUUUCAGUUUAUUUAAGUCAUUCGAUGGUUCUUUUAGUCUAAAACUUUAGUAAAAGGGUUAAUUGCAUACAAUUUCUUGUAAAUAUAGAGAAUUGUAGAUAUAUUCAUAUAUAUAAGUUCAACUUUCUUAUGUUAUUUCUACAAAAGUUGUAAUGUCUUCAAAUAUAUUUCUGCCGUUAGUAUUCGUUGAAAAAUUUUGGUUAAAAUACUUAAUCGUGGUUAGUCAAUGAGGUAAAUUAAUAUUUUUAUCCUUCUUAUAUUAUACCUUCUUCUUUCAAUCAAAAUCCUACCAACGAAAACUCUUCUUCUUCUUCCUCUUCCUCUCUCUCCUUCACGCUAGUUUUGAACCUGUAACUAGAAUUCCUCCGUCCCCAUUUAUCCACGACGCGUAUUGUUUCACCCAUGUCGAAUGUAUGUUGCUUUUCCCUUCAAUUUUUUCUAUGAUUUUUCUUAUUUUGCUCAAAAGAAAAGGUUUAGAAAAAAAAAGAGUGAGAGAAGAGAUUACAACAAUGGUGGAUUGAGUUGGAUUUUAAAGAAAAAAAAGAUGAUCAUUGAAAUUUUUUUGGAGGGAUAUCUCUGCAUGAUUAUAGCAAUUGGGGCUUUUGGAGGUAUAUAUUUGUGAUGGCAAAAUUGACAUUUCACUUAUUUAUUAUUAAAAAAUAAAUAAUUUUCUAACAGUAACAAAAUAGAGGGACAAAUAUGAAUACUAAUGGACUUUUGAAGGGAUAGCAUAAAAAAAAUAAACUUUAUAAGAAUAUUUUUAUAAUUCACUAUAUUUAAGGGAGUUGUAUGCAAUUAAACCUUAAUAAAAUUACAACUAUAUAUAUGAAUUACAUAAAAUAUAGAAACUAAUUAAGCCUGUAAAGAUAAUUGACGCAUUUAAAUUUUAAAAGUAAAAAGUUGUUAACCAGUUCAAACCAAAUAAAUUAAAAAAAAAAAAUUAGAUAGUAAAAUAAAAAAAAUUUACAGUUAGGUGGCUUAUCUUAUCAAAAUGAAUAAUAGUUAAGAUAGUUCUCAAUGCAUUUUUAUCAAUUACCAGUAUAUGGUGAUAAAUGCUUGUGGUAUUCUUAAACGAACAAAAAUUUUAUGGGCACAGUCCCCAAACUAAUUAGUUUGGGGACUAUGCGGAUCGGCGCCACGUGGCCGAUCCGACAACCAUGGAUCUCAGUUGUUUUUUCUCUCUUUCUCUCUCUAAAAACAUAGGAUUUUUUUUUUGUCUUUCCAUCUGUGGCUGUCGAAUCGGCCACGUGGCGCUGAUCCGCAUAAUCCUCAAACUAUUAGUUUGGGGACUAUGCCCAUAAAAUUUUUGUCCUUCUUAAAAGAUAUGCCUUCACAAUUAGAAACCUUCAUCUUAUGCAUAUCCGCACAUCAAAUACCGAAAAGAACAGAAUUUUGGGAAACAUAUAGCAAUGCUCUUUAAUCUAGAAUGUUGCUUUUAUCUUCUUCUUUUUUUCCAAAAAACGGUAGGCUUGCUGCCUGUUUUAUUCAUAGUGAAUAUAAACUGAACUGUAAAAAUGGAACAACUAGCCCGGAAAAUCAAAAACAUUCCGAACAAGAGCAGGCCAAAAAAAAAAAAAAAACGAUGGGUACCUACAAUAGAAACCUAUUAUAAUGUACCAAAUACAAGCUGAGAUAAUUUAUAACUGUCCACCAAAAAAAUCUUUUUGUUGCUAUGCUAGUAAUUUGGCCAUAUUGACUACCACCAAUAACUUUAUGAAUUGUUAUUGUUUUAAGAAAAAAAUAACACGUUAUCAGUUUUAUUCAUUUAGCAAAUAAAUUUAACUACAAGAGUUAAAUCAACAUGGCCUCAAAAUAUAUUAAAGAUAAACAAAAUAAAAAAUAGAAAUAAAAGCAAAAAAAAAAAUCGUAAAAAAAUUACUAAUUCUACUCCUCACUCAAAAUCAAAAUCCAGUCAUAGAAAAGUUACUUUUAUUGAUUGUUGAUAUAGUAUUCUUUCUACGAAUACUAUGUGUAUGCACCAAUAAAAAAGAUCCUUAUUUGAUAACGUCAAAGCUGAUACAUUAUAUUAAGUCGUAAUAUAAACCUUUUUAAUAAUAUUAAAAUAAAGAUUUUUUUUUUUUUGGUUUGGAAUACAUAGAGUGGAGUACGCUUAAUUUAAUGCAAAAGUGUUGGGGUGGAGAGUCGUGGGGAGCGGAUUACUAGGAACAGUACUGCGACUUCGGGAUUCCGGGCGGGCAAGAAGAAACCAAGAGGGAGCGGACGUACCCUCGCUCUUACAUUAGUUUGAAACUUUGCUACAGCACACAAUACUGUUUACGUCCUUGAUACAUACAAUAGUAAUAAGAUACGGAGUGGGCGGGUAUGCUUUAGAAAGUACGGAACCUUUCAUAUUUACAAAUUAUUUUUAAUAUUGUGAUUUUCGAAUAGACGACCGGCUCCGUUAGAAUUGAUUUAGAAUAUUUGAAGUAUCUAGAAAAUAAAUUUUGUAAUUUUUUGAUAUCAUUUGCCUAGUGAUCGAAGGUUCUCAAAAUCAAUAAUUUUAAUGACCGUAGUGAGUCGUUUGCAAGUUUAACGGUGUAGAAACAUUCAAAUCACGUGAAAUUUUGAUAGAAAAUUCUUUAUACUAUAUAGAAUAAGAUCAAUAACUUUGAUCUAAAAUUUUAAUGUCAUAUCAUCAUAUCUUGUAAGAUUUUUAUUUUCAGCCGUUGAUUUUGAGCCACUUCGAUCACUAGGCAAAUGAUAUCGAAAAAUAGCAAAAUUUAUUUUCUAGAUACUUCAAAUACUCUAUAUCAAGUCUAAUGGAGCCGAUCGUCGAUUCAAAAGUCCCAACAUCGAAAACGACUUGAAAGCACGGAGUGCUUCGUGCUUUCAGAAGCACACUAAACGCACUCAUAAGAUAUGAUCAAUAUUAGGUAAUAUUGCACCUUUGUCCCCAAAAUAUAUAUGAGUCUAAUGUUAAUUUCGUUCUCAAAGUUACAUUUUUUUUAGUACAUUCUGACUCGAAUUUUUAGAAUUAUUAUAGUUAAAUACUAUAAUCUAAUUUAGUGCGCUAAAUAUUAACAUAUUCUUAAUUUGGAUAUGAAAGUAUUGUAAUUGAUGAUACGACAAGAUUUAAAAUUCUGUGAGGUUGUCAACAAGCCGAAUACGAGCUAAUUUGCAAACAUAUAGUUAGAUUGUAUGGUCUACUACAAUAUGAAUUUUUAAAGAAAUUAAAAUUUUAAUUGAAAUUCACAAACUAUACAUUUUUACGUUUGGAUUGAUCUAAAAUUCAAAUAGGAAAAGUUUCUUACAUAUAUAUAGAGUUUGUCUUCUUAUAUAUAUAAAGGAGUCCGGCUACUAUACUUUUAUGAGUAUUGGCUUCCUUAUACUCGUAAGUUUUCGGCCCUUAGAUUUAUUUCAUGAUCAUUUCCACCCGUUAGACCAUACUAUUUAACCAACUACCCACUCAAUCCUAGGGAACCACUAUCAUUCUAAGUAGGGACCGUCAUCAUCUUAACCACACAUCCCAUCAAUGAACGGUUAAAAAAUUUAUAAGUAUUUGAGGUUUUAUACUCAUAAGAGUAUAGUAGCCACAGCCUAUAUAAAGCUAGGCUAUUAAUUAUACUUUUUAAAAUAAGAAAGCAUCCAUACUUUUAUGUUAUUUUUUAUGUGGGAUAUUCGAAUUAGCGAUCAGCACCGUUAGACAUGUUUACGAUGUUGGAACUAUUUAGAAAUGAAAUUUUAUUUAUUUUUAACUUUAUUUGUCUAGUGAAAAGCCUUGCUAGGGUGCUUCUAAUAGUACCAAGUACUUGUUGCUACCAAAAUUUUCACCGUUAAUUUUACCUCUUUAACUAUUUCCAUCUGAUAGAUUAUACUAUUCAACCAACUACCCACUCAAUUUUAGGAGAUCAUCCUAACCGCAUAUUCUUUCAUCUAAGGGCUCAAAAUUUAAUAGCACGAAUGACUUAGUGGUAUUAGAAGCAUUCCAACCUAAUUAUAUAUAUUCAAGGGCUGAAAAAAAUUAAAAGCAUCAAAGAGGAUCUAAUGACCAAAGAGGAUAGAUUCAAGGGCUGGAAAAAAUUAAAAACACCAAGGGCCCAGCUAUAUACGAGCUAUGUUGAGUCGAAUAUGAGUAAGCUUAUCCUACUUCGCGUUUUGCUCAUUAAGAUUUUGAGUUAAGAAAUUCAGCUCGUAGCUGGCUCUUGCUAAUAGCGAGCUACAUUGCCAAACCUAUAUGAUACAUCACUUUUAUAUCAACAAUGUGCAACAAACUAAAUUGUGUUGUGAGACCUGAGUCUAAUAAUUCUAAAAAUUCGUACUAAAAAUUGUAACAAAUUAUAGUGUGAUAGCCAUUGUGUCCCCGAUCCCAUAGUUUGAGGACCAAACCUGUAAUUUACCCUGUGAUAUUAUAUGUGAUAUUAUUAGUUGAAUUAUACUACUAUACUAUCAAUAGUACCAAGUCCUUGGUACAAUUGAGUUUUCAACAGUUGGAUGAAAGGAUGUGCGGUUAGAAUGAUAGUGGUUCCCGAUUAAAUUGAUAGUGGUCCCUUAGGGUUGAGUGAGUGGUUGGUUUAAUAGUAUAAUCUAACGGAUAGAAAUGAUCAAAAGGUAAAUCUAAUGAUAAAAAAACUCAAUAGUAUUAAAGACUUGUUACUAUCGAACAGUAUAGUAGCCGGACUCUUAUUAGUUUAUACAUUGUAUUCUUCUAUAUAUGGUUUGUUAUUGCAGUAAUAUACAUUGGAGGGCAAAGAUUUGACGUUUACGUGUUGAAUUGGGAUAUUGUUGAGAGUGAUGGAUGGAUGGAUGGAUGGACGGAUGGGGGCGCGUGAGGCCCGGGGUGUAGUCGAUGUAGCAGCUGCUCCUGCUGCUGCGUUUGUUGGAGAAACGAAGCACGUAGCAUCUUCUCUUUUGUUCCCGCACUCCACUGAUUGGUAGAUUCUUAAUUUCCUAUGCACACACUUGUUUGUUUUCUUUAAAAAAAAAAAAAAAAAAAAUUUCUAAAGAGAAUAAUAGUAUUUUUAUUAGAAAUAAAAUUAGUUAAAAAUAUGGAGCGGUUAGAUUUUAAACUUCAAACCGUAGGUUUCAGAUGUCAAACUUUUUGUUACUUGUGCUAGAGACGAUCGAUUUAUGGACGCACAAGUUACCUGUUCGUUAGCGAUGCUAAUAAUUUGAAUUGUUCAUAUUUAAAUGAUUUGAGGGAUUGCAUGUGGAUGCUCGAUAUCACAUGAGUUGUAGAGAGGUAGGCUUUUCUAUAUAUUAAGUAGCUUAUGUAAUACUAACAUCCAAUGAAUUAAUAUGAAUAGAAACAUACUUACAAAAGUAUCAGCGCGAAGAAACAGCCAUCUACAAAAAGAGACUUUGCCGCAUUAGUAUGCAAAUGCAUUACAAUUUUGAACCACACUAGCUACUAACUCAAAUGGAUAAAACGUCAGUGGGAAAAACUCCUCAACGACGCCUCAUUGGAGAGCCCUUGAUUCGCUUUCAUGCAUUAUAAAAAUUAUUAUAUUAUACUAGAUUAAUUUGAUCUCUACAAAUUAACUUGCAUAAUAUAAUGGCCUAUUCGUAACUUCAUAUGUAAUGCAUGUUAACAUUACAAGAUACAAAGAAGAGAGAGAGAGGAAGCGUGUAUCCCUGCAGGGACAACGAAAGCACGUGUGCAACAGAAGCAAAGACUUGUACUCAGCAGAACCUGCUAGCUAUAGAGUCUACGUGCAUGCGAAAAGUAGUAGAUCUAGAAAUGCACACGCUAAAAUUGGUUUGACCAAAUUAACUGUCACAAUUUUUCCCUUUUUUUGGUCUUUGGGAACUGUCACAAUUAGAUCCCUUACCUCCACUGUGGUUGGUGUGUUGUGUGGAUUUGAAAUUUGAAUUGGGAAAAGGUGAAAACCACGUACCCUCUCUCCACAUGCCAAGUAGAUUUUUUUUUUUUUUUUUUGAGAGAGAUAGGUAGCACGCUACCCGCUUUGUUUAUUUCAUUUAGAAAUAAACUUAGCUGAAAAUAUGAAUCAACUAGGAUUCGAACUUGGGUCUCAGAUACCAACCACCAAAUCCUUUGCCACUUGCUCUAGGUACGAUCGGUCAUGCCAAGUAGAUAUUAGACUCAUACUAAUUGGUGGGUUCUGAUUCACUAUCAAGCCUAGCACUGUUUGAUUAUUUCAUUUUGCCUAACCUCUGUAAUUUCUUUGUGCUCUAUCCAUUCCCUUGUAUUGCUAUUCAAUAAAGAGUGCAAAUCAUUUUCAAUGGCAAUCAGCAGGAGUACUGUUCAUGAGAUCAUCUGACAAUAACUAUUAGUUACUUAUUUGAUGAUUGAUUUAUAUAUUAAUGGUUGUAACUAAAAUAAUAGAUUGCUAAUUAGAUAUUUGUUGCUUAUGUAGUGAAAACUGGUGGUAUUUACUUCCUGUAAAAAGGUAACCAACAUUUUGAAUGUUUUACAUAAUCGAAUGGUUAUGUAAAUUAUUUCAGUUUGGAUUCGUUUUUGUUUGUCAAUUGGUCAAAAAAUCCGAAAAAUUCGGUUUUGCCGUAAUUUAUGCUCAAAAUCGUACCAAAAUCGAACCGGGAAAACCCCUAGCUAUGAAUCAGUGAUGUAAUGCAAAAUUUAGCUUAUUAUCAAACCAAGCAAAUAAUGAGAUUUUUCC